rnacentral:lncRNA from 1 species
GCCUAGAGCAGAGCUUCUCCCAGAUGGCUCCCACCACCCGGCAGAAUGUGUUCAACUUUGCCCAAGGCUACCUGGUGUCCCGCCCAGUGCAGACAGGUGCUCCCUGCUCUGAAAACACCCAGGGCAGCCUUGGAUGGUUGCAGGCAAACCUGGGCUCCUUCAGCUCCCUAGCCUCCUACAAUGAUCUUGUCAAACUGUAUCGAGAUUUCAAUGCUAUGGACACACUGAGCACCCUCAGCCCUGAACAAGUAGCAGGGUUCUUAGUGACAAGC